UCCACACCCCGAGGAGUCCCCGGUACCCCCCAGCGCUCGCUCGCUCGCUCGCUCGGAGAGCCGGGGAGCAGGAGAGAGGGACCCCCACUUAGACCCUGAGUAGGGAGGGAGUAGGAGGGUCGACAGAUUGGGCUGAGUGAUCGUAACCCGGUCCCUGGAGGCAGCUUUCUGGGAGUCCAGCCCCUUCCCCCCCGGAGGAUGCAAAUUCCGUAGGGAGUUUGAAUCCACCAACUUUGCUUCCUGGGAUUUUGGCAUUUCAGUUGUCAGCUCAUCCUAAGACUCCAUUCCAUCGUAAAGACCUCAGCCUUGACAUCAAGCACAAUUUAUUUGUCUGUGCUUUUCCAUAUUUGCUAUUUGCUAAUCCCUCCUGAGCCUGAGUUUGUUCAUCUGAGAACAUAAGAUUGGGUGAGCGACUCCUGAAGACCAUCUGAGCCAACAUCCACCACGUUGUCUGACUCCCUUGAGUGACGAUUCAGAGAUUUCCUACCCUGCAUCUGUUUCUCUUCUGCCAGUGCAAGCCUUCCCACACUACACUAGUCUUAAGCCUGCCCUCGAUCUGUAUUUGUUGUACUAGAAGACCCCAGGUGUUCUGAAUAUCAGUUACUGAUACACAUACACUCAUGAACGCGACAUCAAGCCCUAUCCGACAUGCUCACCACUUUUUUGACAUUAUCCUUAGAAAUUUCCCCGCAUAUUUUCCUGCUAACACCCAAGAGAUUACCGUUUCCCAACUUAGAGAUUUCAUUCUUGAUCUCUUUCUUCAGGGUGAUCUCAUAGAUUUCACUUGGGAUGAAGUAACACAGUUUCUGGAACUUCCAUAAAACAUGCCAUUAUGUCCCUCCUUACAAUAA